UUUCUCUUCUUCUUCUCUCUAUACGUUGGUGUUCUAACCAAUAAUCACCGAUGCGAUGUUCUGUCCGAUCGAUUCAGGAACCAUCUAACGAAUGCCGAAGUGUUGUGCUUUGUGAAUUUUGUUAAACGGAAUCCAAAGUACUAUACUUUGUGAGUUCAUUUAAUGGAUACCAAAGUACUGUCUAAAUAAGACUAUACUUUGUGAAAUUCGUUAAGGUUCGAAUCUCGUGACUACCGUUAAGGUUUGAUUUGGGUUUUACACAAAUACGUAUUCCAUUCUGUUAAACUAUAUGUUUAACUACCGAAAAUACUUCCCACUACACACUCACAAUCAAACAAAGUAUUAAAUCAUCAGAAGAUCCAGAAUAAUAAAGUGCAUGCUUAAUUAUCGGAAGAAGUAGAAUCAAGAAGCUUGUUAACUCAAUCUUGCAUGCUUAUAAAGUGAGUCAUUCCUCUUUUAUAAACUCUUUUCUCACAGUUUGUGAGUCAUUUUCUUUUUAUCAACUGUUUUACAAAACUCCAAAUUAUUUUCCAAUGUUAUAAUUACAGGGAUUAAGUCUAUGUAAUCACCAAAUUACAGCCGGUAUGUGGGGUUUUGUAUACAUUACUUGUUUCCCGUCACACUUGGACAAACGGGUGGCCAAGGGGUGAUCUGACCACAGUCACAGACACCAUUGGACAAAUGGGCUAGCCAAUGGAUGGUCGAGUGACAAAUACUGUGGGUAGUUGGUUUGAUAUCAGAAACAUUGUAAUUCCCCUUAAUACUGUGAAUUAUAACAAAUCUGUUUUAUAUAAAACCUGAAUGAACUCACUCAGUAUUUCCCGCUGACAAAACCUUUUUAAAAACGCGUUUCAGGUAACUACAGUAGAUUGGGGUAAGAAUUGGAUCCAGCACUGAAGGACUUCAAGAAGUGGCUUAUUUUAUUAAAUAAAUCAACUUAAGAAAUAUUGUUUUUGGGUUUAUCCCUUAUUAAAAGUUAUCUUUGUAAAACAUGGAAUUAUUCCAUCUAUUUAAAUAAAAUCCGGUGUUUUCUAAACUCUGAUAUUUUUCCUAACUCACGGUCCUGAUGAAAUUUCCGCUGCAAUGUUUUCAAAAAUAACCACCGGUACCACUGGACUGCUCGCGGCUUCCGAUUCCGGCCAGGAUGGGGUCGGGGGUCGUGACACCUAACUUUCUUAAAAUCCUUGUGUCCCCGGCAACGGCGCCAAAAACUUGAUGCGUGUCAGUGUCCAAGUUUUAAAUUUAUAAACACGAUAUUCACUAACACUAAACACUUAUGGGCAAGUGCACCCAUCGUGGACGUAGUAUAGUGUUGGUAAGACACCGAGGUCGUCCAAGGACACAAGAGCUUUUAGUACUGGUUUAUCCUCAACGUCUAAUCAAAUCAAAAUGUUAGAAAAAGAUUUUUAAACUAGAAA
rnacentral:lncRNA from 1 species